CCUACGGGCGGCAGUAGUGGGGAAUAUUGGACAAUGGGGGCAACCCUGAUCCAGCCAUGCCGCGUGUGUGAAGAAGGCCCUCGGGUUGUAAAGCACUUUCAGUGAGGAAGAACGCCUGGUGGUUAAUACCCAUCAGGAAAGACAUCACUCACAGAAGAAGCACCGGCUAACUCCGUGCCAGCAGCCGCGGUAAUACGGAGGGUGCGAGCGUUAAUCGGAAUUACUGGGCGUAAAGCGCGCGUAGGUGGCUUGAUAAGCCGGUUGUGAAAGCCCCGGGCUCAACCUGGGAACGGCAUCCGGAACUGUCAAGCUAGAGUGCAGGAGAGGAAGGUAGAAUUCCCGGUGUAGCGGUGAAAUGCGUAGAGAUCGGGAGGAAUACCAGUGGCGAAGGCGGCCUUCUGGACUGACACUGACACUGAGGUGCGAAAGCGUGGGUAGCAAACAGGAUUAGAUACCCUGGUAGUC
rnacentral:rRNA from 1 species